AAUCAACGCUGGCGGCGUGCCUAACACAUGCAAGUCGAACGCGAAAGCCCGCAAGGGUAAGUAGAGUGGCGCACGGGUGAGUAACACGUGGACAACCUGCCUUCGAGUGGGGAAUAACCUUCCGAAAGGAGGGCUAAUACCGCAUAACACCUCGGGACACAAGUUCUGGGGUUGAAAAGAGCAAUUUGCUCGAAGAGGGGUCCGCGCCUGAUUAGCUAGUUGGUGAGGUAACGGCUCACCAAGGCUUCGAUCAGUAGCCGUCCUGAGA
rnacentral:rRNA from 1 species